AAUAAAACAUUGCACAGUAUUGUAAUAAAUUUCAUAGCAAAGAAAACAUACCCGAUCUUAAAUAAAAAUAUGAAAUUAUUUCAAUUACUUUUCAUAGUUGGCUGCAUUGUUGCCACUGUAAUGGGUGCUCCAGGAGGUAAUUGGAUAACAGGCAACGGUAAUCAUGGAAAUAUUCAAAAUAAUGUGAAUUUAAAACUUCAUAUAAAUUUUCCCGAAAUACAUUUACCAAAUAUCAAUUUACCAAAUAUCAAUUAACCAAAUAUCAAUUUUGGAUGGAAAUAGAUCAGUCACAGAAAAAUGUAAAAUAAAUCUUACUUUUGUUUCAAUAUUUACUCUUUCCCAAAUUUUAUGGCUGACACAACAAUAAAACUCAUUGGUUUGCUUGAA